rnacentral:rRNA from 1 species
UAUAAAACAAAUAAGUUAAAACUUUCAACAACGGAUCUCUUGGUUCUGGCAUCGAUGAAGAACGCAGCGAAAUGCGAUAAGUAAUGUGAAUUGCAGAAUUCAGUGAAUCAUCGAAUCUUUGAACGCACAUUGCGCCCGGUAGUACUCUACCGGGCAUGCCUGUUCGAGCGUCAUUUCAACCCUCAAGCCCUGCUUGGUGUUGGGGCCCUACGGCUGCCGUAGGCCCUGAAAGGAAGUGGCGGGCUCGCUACAACUCCGAGCGUAGUAAUUCAUUAUCUCGCUAGGGAGGUUGCGGCGUGCUCCUGCCGUUAAAGACCCAUCUUUAACCAAGGUUGACCUCGGAUCAGGUAGGAAUACCCGCUGAACUUAAGCAUAUCAAUAAGCGGAGGAAAAGAAACCAACAGGGAUUGCCCUAGUAACGGCGAGUGAAGCGGCAACAGCUCAAAUUUGAAAUCUGGCUUCGGCCCGAGUUGUAAUUUGUAGAGGAUGCUUUUGGUGAGGUGCCUUCUGAGUUCCCUGGAACGGGACGCCAGAGAGGGUGAGAGCCCCGUAUAGUCGGCCACCGAUCCUUUGUAAAGCUCCUUCGACGAGUCGAGUAGUUUGGGAAUGCUGCUCAAAAUGGGAGGUAUAUCUCUUCUAAAGCUAAAUAUAGGCCAGAGACCGAUAGCGCACAAGUAGAGUGAUCGAAAGAUGAAAAGCACUUUGAAAAGAGGGUUAAAUAGCACGUGAAAUUGUUGAAAGGGAAGCGCUUGUGACCAGACUUGUGCCGGGCUGAUCAUCCAGUGUUCUCACUGGUGCACUCGACCCGGCUCAGGCCAGCGUCGGUUUUCGUGGGGGGAUAAAAGCUU